rnacentral:lncRNA from 1 species
GUUGAUUUGUUGAAGAAUAACAUACCUGACCCAUCAUUGUUAACAUCAUCUACACCAGACAAGGAAAAUAAGAAUGAUAGCCAAUCAGGCAGUGAAGAUUACAUGGCCGAUCUCUGUUUUGUGCAUGCUAGGUGAGCAUUAUGCACUGUUCUACUUGCCUUAAGAGUGUAUUUUUUUUCUGUUAUCAGAUACUCAUUUAUAUUUCUCUGAGUGGAUCUUUUGAAUUUCCUGUUGGUAAAAAAAAAAGGAAUAUUGCUGCAACACGAUCAUAUGAGCACAUACCACUUCCAUACUUAAUUCAUCCCUCCACUCAUUUAAUCUUAGUAAUAUGAUUGAUGGUGUUUUCUAAUUGAACAGAUUGAGGGAACAUGACUUGUCUCCUUCAAAGCUCAUGCUUCUGCGGGAGACUCUUGAAAAAAACUUUGAGUCGUCCUUAUUUAACAUUGGCAGCUCUAGUGCGACACCUGAAGUUACCGAUUCCUCGGUUGCUCCAAGCACGAAAGUUGAAGAGUUGAGCUCCAGCCAGCAGGACAUAUUCCUUCUUCCAUUAAGAUCACAUGAUACCUCAGCGAAGUUUGAAUAUGGGACAUACUCAUCCAUGCUAGGGAAGCUUCGUGAUCAGGUAUCUUUUCUAGUCCGACUUGAAAUUGCAUAUAGAUUUAUAUACUCCAGUCUUGAAACCAUUUAAAAUGAAAAAAAAAAUCGCUGUCAGAGACGCAGCCUGUUCUUAGCUUAUCUUGUUCAUUUACUCAAGCAUUUAUUAACGGCCCCAUUAAGUCAGUCUGCUGUGUAUAUUCCUGUCGUUGCAGGUCCUGUCAAGGCCGUUGAGGCCGUUCUCGAAGAACCUCACAGAGCGUGACUGGCUGAGGAGCUCGGCCAAGAUAUGGGACAUGGUGAGGAGAUCUCCCGUCGCCUCGGAAUACUGCAAGGCGCUCCAGAGCUCAGGAUUGUUCAGGAAGUAGCCACAUAUGCGUCGUAAUGUUCUCGAUUCGACUGACCUGAGAUACAAUUUAAAUCGCUGUUAGAUGAGACGACUGGCUCGAUCCGCCAUAUGAUGUAUGGAUCCUGUGUUUUUUUCUUCUUCCGUUCUUUGAGUUUCGGCAUUGUAAAUCUGAAAGAUUCCGGGAGAAGAAAAUUUCCAACCUUGGUGCUGUCCCUUUUGCUUGCAUACUACUCGUGCUAGGUUACUGCAUGCGAAUGGGGAUAUGCUGUAAGGUAGCAAUACAGAAUGAUAUCUAACCUUGGUGCUGCCCCUUUUGUUCACAUCUCUAUUUCACUCAUCCUAACUGAUAUAUGAACAUAUAUGAUUUAGCAUUUGGCUUCACGGCAAAAGAAACUCAAGAGGAGCCGAGUCUUUCUGCGAGGCGAAUUUUCCCUGCAUUUUUCACAUGGCUAAGAUGUGUAAGCUCUUCCCCUUUUUUUAGAAGAGGCUUUUAAGUUCCUCGUACUUGUGUUUCAUUCCUGACCCCACAAGUUUCACAUAACAGGUUCAUGCAUCCUUUGGUGUAUCGCCCAAGGCAGAGGUAAUUGUUAAGAUCAUGUUUGCCUCCGCCGUUAAUUGAUAUGAUAUGAUCUGAACAAUUAACGCCGGGGGUAAAUGCUCAGAGAAACAGCCAUUUGUGACGUAGUUGCACUACGGCUGUUCCAAGGGAUGAUAAAACAGUGACAUGACAGUUUGUGCUGCCUACAUUUUCUCUUGAUAGUAGAGUUUAGACUGAAGACCUGAAAGCACACUUGCUGCCUUGCUGGCGUUUGAUUGAUAGCUCAAUUAGGAGUUGGCUUGGAUGCCGACGUCCGAGUAAAGUACGAAAGCUUUAGUUGAGUCGGUUUGCCUUUUACAUAUAGUAUUAUAUAAUGUCCGUGUGGUGCUAGGAGUUGAUGUACGAAGGUUUAGGUUGUGUUGAGUCGGCAGCUUGUACGUCUAUAUAAGCAGAGACUUGGGGUAGAUUUAUGAGACACCAGAAAAAUGAGAAAAGCAAUAAAGAGAUAAUUACAAGGCACGACACAUGUCUCUAGUAAACUUUGUGUUGCCAAGUUCGUGUGUGUGUUCUGGUCUCGGUGUUUGCGUGAGCACCGACGAGAUAUCAAGUGCGACAGCUAAUUUCUAUACGUUGAGGCGAGUUGCGCGUACAUAGAGCUGCCAUGUGAUUGUGUGUUUGAUCUCUGAAAAAGAUCAAAGUUGUGUUCUAUUUGGUGCCCUCUUAGAGCAUCUACAGCCGGAUACCUCAAACCAUCUCCCAUACGUCCGCGGACGUGUCUGGUUAGUAACCGGACAGGAGAUAAAAAAAAAAUGUGACCCUAUUGGACCCCUUAUGUCAUCCCUAUACGCCCAGCCUGUCCGCGAACCCUCAUAUCCAUCUCGAAUGUAGGGAGGAUAUGAGGGCUCGCGGACGCGUCCAAGCGCACCCGGGCAGUCUGCCAUGUAGGACGUGGCCUCACCCGGGACCAUAUUUUCUCUUUCUUUAUUCAUUCUUUUAUUUCUCUCUCUUUUUUUUCACCAAUCACGUACAAGUGAUCAAACAUAUGAGGAGAAAAAUGAGGAAUGUGGUUAUGUGGAAGAACAAAUAGGAGUUUAAAAUGGACGUUUAAAGGGUCCUAUUUAUUAGGCAAAAGUCUGAAAAAGACCUUAAAUUCGUACUCCGAGUCUGAAUCAGACCCUGAACUUGAAUUCCCUGAAAUUGUCACCCCGAGCUCUCUGAUCGUGGCUAAUCCCGGCUGGAUGUUUGUUUGUGAGAAUGGGAUUGCUUACUUGGCAGGGAUAUGGAGAGGAAAUCAUCACAAUCUGGACCGAUCUCUGGGCCAUACCGUCCCCUCUUAAACCCACCACCAAGUCGGGCCUUCCCCCUUCUCUCCUGUCUCUCUCCAAUCUGUUCCUAUUCUCCCCCGUCUCUCGCUCGUCUCUUCAGUUUCAGGUACGCCGGCGUUGUCUCUAAAAAAAAGGUACGCCGGCGAUGGUGAACGGGGGCUGAUCGACAGGAAGGCAAGAAAAUCGCGGCGACCGGAGUUGACGGAGGUAAUGUGCCGGCCUCCUGCCUAUGCUUUCUUGUUUGCAUUUGCCGCCGUUUGAUGGAUAUGGCUAGGGUUUCAGAUAGAGAUGGUUGUGGUGUUGGAUGAUAUUUUCCAGAAUUUUUUUUUGGAUGUGAGAUUUCUGUGUGGUUCUAUUUCUUCUCAAAAGUUGUAUUAGACAUGGCGUACUGAAUUUAUGUGUAUUACUGUAGGUUUUCUUUCUGCAAGCAUGGAUCCGAGUGAGAAAUUGAAUGUUCGCUUUCACUUUGGAGGGGAAUUUGUCCGAGUUGGUCCUGAGUUAGAUUAUGUUGGAGGAGAUGAGGAGAUAUCAGAGAUAGAAAGGGACAAACUGUCCUUACCAGAAAUCACAGGGCAUUUGGCUGAUCAUAUCACAUACAAAGAUUCCAUGAAGCUUUAUUUCUUGGUUCCGGGUUUAGAAUUGUCAAAUGGCUUGAUGUUUCUCUUUGAUGAUGCUGGUUGUAUGAAAAUGUCAGAGUACACAACCGAUAGUGGAGUGGCUGAUGUGUAUGUUGAGUACUUUGGAGAGCAGGAUGAGGAAAGUGAUAGGAGUGGUAGUGAUUUUGAAGAUGAGAUACAAAGUGAGGAAGAGGGAGACAGUGAGGAAGCACCUGAUGCUAUCAUUUCUGCCGAAGAACAAGUGCAAUUCAGUGUUGGAAAUGUGAAUGGGUUGGCUGACAGAAAUGAACAUGUGGUUGUACCAGAUGACACUGGAGUUAUAACUUCAGUUAUUGCCAGCCCUUUAAGGAGUACAAUGAAAGAAACUUUUAGAGUUGAGUGUGGACAGAGUUCACAGAUGAUUGAUGCUCUGACAGGAAGCUCUCAAGUGCUCAAUCCUCGGUCACAAACUUGCAAAAUUGCACUUAUUAAAGAAACAGUUCAAAAACCAACUGUACCUGGAAGAGAAGAACAUAACAGUGAGUUUGAACAUGACAGUGAUUCAAGCAGUGAUGAUAGUGAUUAUGUGCCAGGUAGUGAUGACAGUGGACUAGAGGAAGAGUAUGUGGAACUUAAGGAAGAAGCAAAGGCAUUUAAGAAGAGAAUAAGAGAUUCUAAGAAGUGGGCACAGAGAAAUCCAACAGGUGUUGUUCCAAUUGAUUUAGUUGCAAAUGUGGAAGAGGUGAUAGGAGAAGAUCACUUUGAUUCUGAUGAUGAAGAUUAUUCAUAUGAUGAAGAUAGUGAUCAUGAUGGACAUGUUGUCAGGAGGAAGAGCAAGUACCCCAGGUAUAAUCCGAAGGCAGAUAUUCCAAUGUUUUGUUUAGGGAUGGUUUUCAGGAGCAAGGAGCAGAUGAGAAAGGCACUAAUAAAAUAUGGACUGCUCACAUUUAGGAGUAUAAUCUUCAUGAAGUCAGCCGAAGAUAGGAUCAGGGCUAAGUGUGGAUGGCCUGGAUGUCCAUGGCUUAUAUAUGGUGCUAAGACUACCAGGUGUUCUAGGUUCCAGGUGUUAACAUUUGAAUCUGAACAUGAGUGUGCACCUAACAGAUACAAUCACCUUGUUACUGCUAUGGUUAUAGCAAGAAAGUAUGAGCACAUCUUAAGAGCUAACCCCACAUGGAAGAUUGACAGUAUUAAAGCUACUGUUCUCAAAGAUUUCUUUGCCGAUGUGUCAACAUCCAAGUGCAAGGCUGCCAAGAAGAUUGUAUCAGAGAAACUACUAGCAGGUAUGAAAGAGGAGUACACCAAGGUGUUUGAUUACCAGCUAGAACUAUUGAGGAGCAAUCCUGGAAGUACAAUACUUGUUGGCUUGGACCCUACCAAUAUGGAUCAGAAUAUUUUCCAGAGCUUCUAUGUGUGUUUCAAUGCUAUGAAGCAGGGUUUUAAAGCAUGUAGAAGGGUGAUUGGACUUGAUGGUUGCUUUUUCAAAGGAGCAUGCCAUGGUGAGCUGCUUUGUGCUAUUGGAUAUUACUGAUCAAGGUGAAGGCUGGGUUUUUAUUUCAGAUCAACAGAAGGUAUAUUAGCUCAAAUUAGAGCAAGCCAGCAGGCUAAGAGAAAAGGAAAAGAUCAAGCAGAAGCAGGACCAAGUGGAGGGAAGAGGAAGGCUACCAGGAAGAAUGUGCAAGCCAAGAAAAAAUCAAAGAAUUAUUCCUGAUUGUCUACUGCUUCUCUAGUCUAAUUAGUACUCCCUCCGUUCGGAAAUACUUGUCAUUGAAAUGGAUAUAUCUAGAUGUAUUUUAGUUAUAGAUACAUCCAUUUUUAUCCAUUUUGAUGACAAGUAUUUCCAGACGGAGGGAGUAUGUUAAAUUAGAUGUCAGUAGUACUACAGAAAGUAGUACAACAGAACUGGUGGUUAUGUGGUUUAAAUUCUUAAGUCAGUAUGGUCAUGUACAGGUGGUUAUGUGUGUCACUGUGAACUGAUGCUAUUUUGCCUGGUACUUGUGUGUUAGGUGUUUCUAAAAUGGCACUGCAAAAUCUGUACUGGGUGCUUUUGUUAUAUUAUGCUGCUUAAUACUACUACAGAAUGCAAACUGAAUGCUUUUAUUAUAACUAGCUGCGAAUGCAACCAAAAGUUCACUGAUUUAUAACCUGAUCUCAAAUUCCAUGCUACAAGUGCCAUAUUCUGCUAGUUGGUCUUACAAAAAGAUGUCAAAUGCAAUACAACCUCCAGUCACUUGCUAAUUCAGUGUUACAAAAGCUCACACUACAUUCACUGUCGUAUGGCACUAGGCCAUUACAUUCACUGAUCGCCCUAAUAAACUCGUCUCCUUUCUCAAUCAGUCGAACAGUUGCUCCACAUCUCUCCCUCAUCACUUCAAAUUGAUGUCUUGUUGCAACAUCUGCUACAUAUCUCUGCCAUGACUGCCGGCCAUCAUCAAGUUCAUCUACAUUUCUCGAAGAUCAAUAAGAAGUUGCCUGUUGAAAAAGGAUGCAAGGAUCAUCAGGCCACACAAAAUAGCCACAGCCAUAUAUUUGAUUCUACAGUUCACCGAAUCAGAACAGAGAAAAAUGAAAAAAAAAGAAGCAAAAUUGGUACAGAGCAACAUUGGGAGAGAGAGCUUACUUUUCCAUGGACGCAAGAAUGGUACAGAACAAGGAAAAAUCCAGUGGCCGCCCUCUUCUCGAGUACCCGUUCUUCGCCGGUCCGUAAGCUAUGGGAUUCUCCCAAUAAGGCAGCGGCGACGACCUAGGCGCUGCCCUCCUUCGUCCGCGCCCUACGCUCCAGUACGCCGCGCCGGAGGACGAAGCCAUCGCUGCCCGCCGCCGCCCGCCUCUCCUUCUCAGAUUUACGCCGCUGCCCGCCUCUUCAACGAUUUAUGCCGCCGCCCACCUCUCCUCCUCCGAUUGCAGCCGCCGACGAACCCUACAAAUAUUCCCCCCUUCUCUGUUUAUUUCCCCGCGUGGCCACGAACUAACUGUGGGGCCUGUUUUCGUCACUACGUGGCAUCUUAUUUCCCCUAAUCCUUGCCACGUAAGCGAUCCUGUUCUCACAAGCAACCAUUAAGCGCAAAUCAGCCGGGAUUAGCCAGGAUCAGAGAGGUCGGGGUGACAGUUUCAGGGAAUUCAAGUUCAGGGUCUAAUUCAGACUCGGAGUACGAAUUUAAGGUCUUUUUCAGACUUUUUCCUAUUUGUUAUGUCUGGCUGUAGAUGCUUUUAUAGGACAGCUGUUGGAGACAAAUGUUUUUGGUGCCGUAAAAACAUUUUUUUAAUCUAAAAAAACAAUUGUUGAUGUUCGCUCCAAUCACUUCUUGGUGCACUAAAAUAUGGCAGAAAUUGCUCUACGGUGACAAGCACCCAUCUUCCUCGUCGGCUUCGUUUCCUCUUUGCACGUGUGCCCAAGGUCUUUUGCGACACACACGGCAUCAGCAGAGGCGCCCAAGAGACCGCGGCGGGAGAAGCCGACGGAGUAGAGCCCGGAGUGACCCUUCCAGCCAUCGGGGACCGAGGUCUUGGGCCAACCGUUCUCGUCAAAUAAAUUGUUGCCCUGGAACCACUGGGUCACAUUGCUGCGGUAGCCAGUGGCCAGAAUGACGGCGUCGACGUCGACGACGCUGUCAUCGGACAGCUCGGCGCCGGACUUGGUGAAGCGCCUCACACUAGUGACAACGGUGAUCUCACCCGACCUGAUCUUUCUGGCCGUCGCGCGCCAGGCGCGUCCAUAGUCGUCAGUCUUCUUGAGCGUGAGCGAGUUGACGGACGGCGUCCGGACGCCAAGCCUGGUGAGGUCGGCGAAUACUAUCCAGGCGAGGAGGGCCAUGAUCUUGUCCACGAGCCAGAGCGGGAGCCACCACAUGAGCAGUACGGUGAGGUAUAACGUGGCAAUGCCGAGCACAUUCCUGACCACCAUGAACGGGACCGCGCCGCCGUUGCACAGGUCGACGGACACCUCCAUGCCGGACUGGCCGGAGCCCACCACGAGCACGCGCUUGCCGAUGUAGGAAAUGCCGGAGCUGUAGUCGCUGGAAUGGGUGACCUCUCCACAGAAACCGGCUAGCCCCGGGAUGUCAGGGACGACUGCCUCAGCGCCGGUCGCCACGACCAGCCAGCGGCUGAUGUACUCCAUCUUGGCAUUGCCGUCCGUUUCUGCGCCCCGUGCACACACGCGCCACAAGCCAGAGGUCUCGUCGAAGCGCGCGGACAGGACGGUGUUGUUGAAAUUCGGCUUGAUGUUGAACUUGGUGGUGUACUGCUGGAGGUAGUCCAUGAAGUGGGCGCGGGUGAGGUACUCUGGGAAGUGAUCCGGGAGUGGCAUUCCCGGGAGCUCGCAAAACUGCUUAGGGUGGUUAACCUUCAGACUAUCGUAGGUGCGCUUUCGGCAUAGUGAGGCGAUGCAGUCCUCUCGCUCGAGCAUGACGAAUGGCACGGCAUGCUCUCGGAGGCUGGCCGCCACCGCGAGCCCUGAUGGGCCGGCGCCGAUGAUGAUAGGGCCAUUCACCCACACGCAUCGUGGGGUAAAAAGCGAGUCCAGUCUGUCCGCGGGUAUCUGCAUAUGAAGGUAUUGACAAUAAACUAGUGGUUAAGAUCAUUAAGGACAAGAUUAAUUAGUUGUUAAUCUAAGUUCUAAGGACAUAUAUAGCAGAGGAUUUAGUUUACUCUCAUUCCAUUUAAGUCACAAAUUGUUUUCUUCGUAGACACAAAGACAAUAUUAUAGGUGAGAGAAAUCACCGAUAUGAACACUGACCAAACUUACCAGGUUCGUAGUUGAAGUUUUGGCAGUACUAAGCUUAUCUUGUUUGUCGACAAUGUCCGGGUCAAUCUUGCCCUGUUCAUCAACUAUGUAUCCAUCAAUCUUAUCCACUUCAUCGACAAGGUGAACAUUAAGCUUGUCUUGUUCAUCCACAAUGUCACUAUAAUUCUUAUCCGGUUCGUUAAUAAUGCCAUUGUCAAUCUUAUUCAAUUCAUUGAUAAUCUCGCUUAUACAUGGCCUUUUCUCUUCAUCCCUCUCCACACAUCUUGAUGCGAUGUCUAUGCAUGUCUUUAUUUCUUGCGAUGUAAGUGACUGCAUCGUUUCAUGCAACCUCUUUGCCCAGUUUUCGUGUACCUGCAAAAUUGAAAGGUAACGCCAACAUGUGGCCGUCUAAGGCACAUCACACAACCUAACAUCCAUGAAGAAAAAGGUAAUAUACCUCGAAUAACUUUUCUUACCAGCUUACUGAAUUCUUCGGAAGGCAUAUCUGCAAAUUUGGAGUAACCAUCAGGCCCAGCUAUUAUUUUUAUAAUUAUAACACCCAGACUGAAUAUGUCAAAUUUCAGUGUGAUUUUGCCCCUUUCUAUGAAUUCAGGAGGCAUGUAUCCACUGCAUGGUACAAAUACAAUCACGUCAAGAAUAGAGAUAGUGAAAGCAACUUGACAACUUAUUUCGUAUGAACUUACAGUGUUCCAAUAAUUUGCGUUGUGAUAUGGGUCUGUGCUGAAGCGAAGAGUCUGGACAAACCAAAAUCUGCAAUUUUGGGUAUCAUAUCUUUGUCCAGCAAUAUAUUCGCUGGUUUUAAGUCCAAAUGGCAAAUAGGGUCUUCGGAUCCUUUAUGAAGGAAUUUUAAACCCUCGCAGACACCUUUUAUUAUUUGGUAACGUGUGUCCCAGGCAAGUCCGCAUGAUUCAUCUGCAAAGAAAAUGGAAAGUGUAUCAAGACAUUAGUUUGGUAUCGUUAUUCGGUGACAUGCAAAAUAAAAGUCUAAGUAGGGCGUCAUCGUACCAGAAAGAUGCUCAUCUAGACUUCCACCUGGCAAAUAUUCGUAACAGAGCAGUCUUUCUUGCACAUGAGCAAAAACAUAUUUUCCUUUGUGCUCUACACGUUCAUGUCCUAGAUAGUAGCAGUAGCCAACUAACCGUAUAAUAUUUUUAUGUUUGGCUCUCAUAAGAUUGUUGAAUUCGUUUGUAAAUUGCUUCUCGUCAAGCCCAUGCAUUUGAUGAAGCUUCUUCAUGGCAAUCUCUUCACCGUUGUCCAAUACACCCUGUUGAAAAUUUCUUUGUAAUAUAUAGUAUGAUCAUACCAUUCAAAUAAUAGAAGAUGUAGCUAGGUACAAUCAUAUACUACCUUGUAAACUACUCCAGACCCACCACGGCCAAUUAUGCUCUCCUCAGAAAAAUGAUUUGUAAUAUGGUCUAAUAGCUGGAGUGUGAACUCCGGGGUCGUCGCAUUUAUCUGGUGUAACUCUAUACUCAUGAAGUUCUGAUGUCCCAUUGAUCUAACAAGAGUUACUUCGGCACAAGGUAAGAACAUUUAUCUUGCAAUUUAACAUAUUACUUCAGAAAAAACUACAUUAAUCUAAAAAUAAAAAGGCAUCCAGGUCAAAAAGAAGACAAAAGCAUCAAAGGUCAAAAAAGAAUAAGAGAAAAGCAUCUAGACUGAUCGAGUAAUCACAUUGGACAUCAAAUAAGACAAUUAUAUUGCUGCGAUUGAGUACAUUCAAUAAAUUACUCCGUUUCAUAUUAGUCCCAUAUAAAUUACUAUGUGCCAUAUCAGGCAUAUAUUUUUCAUUAAUCCAUUUAAAUUUAACAGAGUAAUAGAAACAUCAAAUUUAGCCCAACAUGGGCAUUUGCAUUACAGCUUUAACAAUAAACAAUAUUUAUAAUAUAAAUUAUGUCUGCGCUUAGUAUCCUUCACUAUCACAUGCCUUGAACAUAGAUAAAUUGGCCAAAACCCAAUAGGAGCAUGUACUAGUUUGGAGACUAGGUGUAGCUAGACACUGCACAUAUAGAAUUAUGAACACCCAAGCAUGCGAUAAAUGACAAAUUGCCCGGGAGAGCUACACUAGGUCAAGUACAUCUUUGAUUGGCAAGAUUUUUGAAACAAAAAAUUAUGAAAAGUCACUAUUCAAAAAAUCAUCCNNNNNNNNNNNNNNNNNNNNNNNNNNNNNNNNNNNNNNNNNNNNNNNNNNNNNNNNNNNNNNNNNNNNNNNNNNNNNNNNNNNNNNNNNNNNNNNNNNNNNNNNNNNNNNNNNNNNNNNNNNNNNNNNNNNNNNNNNNNNNNNNNNNNNNNNNNNNNNNNNNNNNNNNNNNNNNNNNNNNNNNNNNNNNNNNNNNNNNNNNNNNNNNNNNNNNNNNNNNNNNNNNNNNNNNNNNNNNNNNNNNNNNNNNNNNNNNNNNNNNNNNNNNNNNNNNAUUAGGCCAUAUCAUCACCAUUUGUCAUUUGGGCCUAUUUAUCACUCUGACAAGUGAUUGAUCAGGAAUCUACCGAGAAAUCGAGCAUAUUCCGAGCACUAUGUGUGCAAGAACUAUGUUUAUUUGUGUUUUUUCGACCUUGUUAUGUAACAUGUAGUGUUCUCCUAUUCUGUUUAUCACUGUACAAGUAUUCAAACCCAAGUAAUUAAUCAAUGUAACACUCUUUCCAAUAUUAUUUUUGUGCUGAAUAUAGCAUCAUUUAAAACCCUAUAAGGUUAGAGAAGCACAAAAAUUCAGAUCUUAAGGCUUGUAGGAUUUCGGUUGGGGUUUAAUUUGGCUCAAAGGAGCAACGAAUUGGUCAAAAUGCUUCAGUUCGAGAAAUAAAGAUCAAAGUAAGCCAAUAGAUAGUAAUCUUAUACAAUAGGCAAAUGAAAUGCCUCGUUGAUAGAAUAAAUACAUGAAACAUAUUAAACUUCAAUGGUUUUUUGCUAUUUUGCGGUGUGAGUUAAUAAUAUUAUAAAUUAACAAAGGUUUCAUUAGUAGUACAAUAAACAAACCAUUAUUAGUAACUGAUUUUAUCACACAAAGCUACAACUUGUAAGCUUUGUGCAUGUACGUGUUGGUGACCGUCUUGUAGUAUGCAUGAUUAUUCCAAAGAGUAGACAAGUAUAACUUCAAACUUAAAUAACCAUUCACCAACUUGGGAACUCUUUUUGUUUUUAGAAACGAUCGGGAUGCUGAAUUGGAACAUGUUUUCCACGAAGGCCAUGGAAAAUAAUCCAAAUAUGUCUGAGACAUAUUUGACUCGCUCGUUAGAUUAGGAUUUGGCGUGUGGUUGAAUAGGAAAGGUGAGGUAAUUUUCCUUGCUUCGUUCCUUGUCAUGUACUUUGUAUGUGAAUUAGCAUUGAGGCUAGUGCCCCUGCAAAAAAAAACAUUGAGGCUAGUGAAAAGCCCACGUAUUCCAAGUUUAUAUUCCAGACAGACUUUGUGUGAAUUAGGAUUAAGACUAGUGGAAAGCCCACACUUUGUUUGAGGGAUUAAGUAUUCCAAGAUUAUAGUCCAGACAAGCGAUGUGAAUUAGGAAUAUGUUUAAGACUAACUGAAAGACUAGCAAUACAAUUCUCACGUAUAUGUAGUACAGAAGUCUUACGUACUACUCCCUCCAUCCGGAAACAAGUGACGCGAGUGGAGUACUAGUGUAGGCCUGCACUAGUACACCAUUUGUGUCAAUUAUUUCCUGCAUAGCUCCACUUGCGUUAGUUAUUUCCGGAUGGAGGGAGAAUGAGCAAAACUGACAAUAGAAAUAUUGAGUUCAUGUGAGGCUCGGAUUAGGUGCGGUUUGACUGUCCUAAAUUCCAACAACGUAUUCUAGGUAGUUAUUUCUCUUCUUAAUUAUUGUGUAUAAGUUGUAGGUAAGAAUAUGAUUUCUGCUGAAACCCUACGCUUGGCUCCAGAUCAGAAUCUGCAGUCCGCCUAAAGCUCACUACAUUUGCGAAGCGAGAUGUACACCCACCUUUUUAGGAAAUUCAGAACCUUAAAAGGAAGCGACACUUUGCAGUGAGGUAGAUUGAUUGAAAACAAAUCAGGGUUCAAAUUGCCUCGAAACCAUGGUGGAACCGACGUGAGCACGUUUGUUGGUUGCGUUGUCCUCCGGAUUUUAUUCACGUAUAAUGUUAGGUCAUUGUAAUCCUGCACAUGACGAAUAAAACUCUCUCUUUUGCCAAAAAAAAAGAGAAGCAAGAAGAAAAAGGCAACUUCAUGUCUCAUUACUGAACCUUAAAAAAAACAAAAAAACAAAAACAAAAAACAGAGGACCCUUGCUAGAGUUGUUGCCAACAACCGAAGUAGGGCAUGAAAGUGAAAAUCGCCAAAGAAGAGAGAGCAAGGGCGGCAAGAGGAAGACCACUAGCAGAUCUGGGAAAGCCCUUACCUCGACCUCCUGUGGGAUGGCACAUCUGACGACGGGGAACGACCGAGUUCUCCGUCCACACCAGGUAGGAGCGAAUCCAUUGGAGUUGAGGUGCCCUGCCCGAUGGAUCUGGUGUCAACAAAACUAACAUGUUAAAACUUGGAGCUAGUAUGUAACUAUAAAUAGGGUCGUUAAUCUCAUAGCAAAUAGGAGUAGUAUUUAGGAACACAGCCACUAUAUGCUUUAACAAGACUAUAUAUGGGGUCGUUAAUCUCAUAACAAUACUAGAGAAAAAAGGGAACAGCAAACAACACGCGGCUAGCUAGAACAAGCUAAUGAGGAGAACCGAAGCGGCUGGCAGCACACACUCAAGAUCAGUGGUGACGUCCCAUACUUGGUAUUAGCAGCCACGAGAAAGAGUUUGCACACAUUCUGGCCGGGCUAACCUGCAGAUUGACUGGGUGAGGACGGCCGAAGCAGGAGGAUGAAGAAGCUCACAGUUUACAGGAGCAGCUACCUAGAUGGCUCCUUAACGGGGAGGAUACAUCAGCAUACAGCAUACUUAACAACGAGAGAACGCUUGCACGGGUGACCGUGCCGCGGAGCAGCAUCUUUUUUGCACUCCCGCGCGUGACGCCCCAGCACGCGCUUGGCUUUCUUUUUGUCCGUCACCGGCGAUGGAGAGAUAACUACGACCGAAGAUGCUUCAGACAACACUAAUGGUCGGUCGAGUACGUCCAUAGAGCUUUUUCCAUUCUCUCUUUCCUCCUUGAAAAGCUUUCCUUUUAGUCUUUGCAAGUGGACUCGCAUUGGCUGCUGCGCAGUUAAGCUUUGGUUUACCUAAUCGUGUAGUUUAAGCCUGCUGCAUCACGUGGUCGGUGCCUCGAGAUCUGGGCAGUGCGGCUUCAUCCAUCUUUACCUAAAAAGAGGAGUAAAAUGCAUGUAUGGUCCUUCAACUUGGUGGCAAUGUCCACAAUCGUCCUCAAACUAAGAAACUGCUUCGGUAAGGUCCGAGAACUUGAGAAUAUCGCUUCAAUAUGGUCCUUAAACUUGACGAACUAGUCCUGCGAUACAUCCCACAUACAUUUUUUGUACGGUGCAAUUAUUUUUUUGAAAACGGCCUCCAAUUUUAUUUAAUUACAUAAAAAACCUAAAGUUAGAAAUGUGAGUUUUGUCAUACUAAAAAAUGACAGUGUUGUAUUUAGAAAACUGUUCAACAUCUAUUAAAAUUUAUUAUGUCAUAAUAAUAAAUUAUAGAAAUGUAAUCAAACAUGUUAAACAUGGUUUUAGAAACGCAAUAAUUAUUUUCACAAUAUUUUUUGAUUCAUGAACUAUUUUUGAAUGCAUGACGGGUAUUUUACAAAAACACGUUUGAAAAUUUUAAAUACACGUGAAAUCGUUUCCAAAACAUGUUUAUAGUUUUUCAGAAAACGUCAAACAUUUAAAUGCAAAAAAUACGAAAAACAUGAACUUUUUUUGUCAAAUGCAAAAAAUAUAUGAAAAACAUGAACUUGAAAAAAAAUGAAAAUUAUGCGGGCCUAUAGUUGCGCCAUGUAUAAAAAUAUAUAUAAAUAAGCUUGAAGAGGUACAUAGGAACACAAUAUAUAAGCUCUAGCUCAACAACUUAGGGCUUCUUCAAAGGAUACCCUCAAAACUCCGGUAUAUGUCACUUCUAUUCACUUUUGUAAUUCAAUGGGGAUCUUUAUCGGUCCACGAAGUGGUUCGGACUUCCGUUUUCCGGCAAAUCCGAGACAAACAUAGGGAGUUAUACCGGAGUCCGGACAUCCAUGUGACCAACCAAAAUCCUCCGUGUGGUCUUCCUCUCUUUUCUCUCUCUUCACAUUCAUGGUCCACCUCUUCUCUUCUCCCAACCAGACACCACACCACAAAUCCCAUCACAUGCAUGGUCUCCCUCUACUAUCUUUCCUCUCAACCGGAUUAAUUUAUGAAUGGCUCCCUCCAGCAUCUUGUUCGUGGACUACGUCCAGACAUACAAAGAGACAUAUACAGAGACAUUUGCGGGUCAACUUUGGAGAUGCCCUUAGGCCAAGCAGCACAUCAACUGGUGGUUAGCAUGUGUGGACUGAUCGUCCCGCGAUCUGGAGAGCUUAGGUUCCAUCCUCCAUAUUGGUAUUAGUUUGCUUCCUAACAUGUGGAACCAACAUUUCUAAUAUUAGUUUUUUUGUAAUUAAAAAAAAUUCUGAGACAGUUUUCUGCCAAGUUUGAGGAUCAUAUUGAAGCGGUAUUCUCAAGUUAGACUGUAUCUCUACUCCUAAAGAGGAAUUUGGUAGCUUCUGUUCCAUCUUUUUUUUCGUCUCAACUCCCACCUUUGUCUGUUUUUUUUUCGCAUCACCUCCUCGCCUUCAUCUGGUUUUUUUCCAUCUCUCCUUACAAAUAAUCACAAAAGAAAAAAAAUCCGCCACUCCUCACCACCGGCCUCGAUCUUUUCAGGAUCACCAGGGACGCAGCCGCCGCCGCUGCGGAUCCCCACGGACGCCUGCCCCAUCGCGAGCGACCUGUCCACUCAGACUCGCGGCGAGCACGCCGCCGACGCCCUGUCGCUGUCGUCCUGAUUCAUUGCCUUGCGACCAUCUUCAGUUUGGACCCUACCAUCGCUGCCGGGGCGACCCGUCCUUCCUAUCGCUCCAUGCCCUCACGACCGAGGGGCCAAGCGCGUCCUCGCCGCCUUCCACACCAGUGGCAUGGAUAGAGUGGUGUAUACCAGAUCCGGAUGUGGUCGACGCUGACGAGUACUCGGUUCCUUACAGGUACGUAGUACGGGCUGACUAUCAGGGUCCUAACACGGGCUCUCCUUGUCCUAAUGUGAUCUAAGAAAAAGGGUUUCCCCCGCUUUGUAUUACAAAGCAACCAUUCGAUACAACCAACGAUAGGUGCUGGGGCGGAAGCAGCACAAGCACGCCCAAAAAAAAGAAAAAAAAAGAAACAAAUGCCGAUAACGGCGGAUCGACAAAAACGACUAAGCCUCUUGACCGCUGUGUCCACCGGAGAUCACCCACCAAGCUCCGAGACUCCGAAGCGCCGGUACCAAUCAACACCUCCAAGAAGGAACGCGACGAUGACGACGCUGCUGCCAAGGGUUUCCCCCGGUACGCGGCGAGGAGAGAGGAAGGGUAGCCCCGACGCCCUCCAGGAAGGUCUGGCGGCACCCUCAAGCGCCACCGCGUCGGUGUUGGCCAAGCCAACAGGGAUUUCUCCCGAUCCCAGCCUCUACCUCAGACACUUCGGAGCUCGCCACCAAACUAACCACCACCCAGCGCCAACACGGACACGAAGCUUCCCACACUGUCUCACCACAGCACCGCGAAGAUGGUCUGCACAACGAAGAAGAGGAGCCGGGACUAGUGCAGCAGCACCGUCGGCAUACGGGAGGGCCCCACCUCCACCGUCCACGACGGUAGCCGACCGGACGCCAUAGCAGGAGCCUACCGGGCCCGUGGCCCCAAAGGCCUGGUCGGGCCCUCAAAGGCCCGGACAGCUCCCGCCUCCGCGCAGCAGCUGGCACGCCGUCGGCACCACUGUCCCAGUCCAAGCCGAUCCCCUGCCUCCCCAUACAGAAGGCGUCGCGGUCGCCCGCAAGGACCCAGAAGGGACCCUACGGGCCCAGAUAUGGGCCGGGGACAUGCCGCCGGCUGACCAGCACCACCGGACCGCCCUGCCGCCAAGCGGCGGCACCACCCCGGCGAGCGCCGCCGGCCUCCACACCAGGACGUCGGACCACCACCGGCCGAGCAGCACCGCCGCCUCCCCCCACCCCGGGAAGGAGGAGCGCGCGCGGGGAAGGAACGACCCGCCGCCGCCGACCCCACCCAGCCAGAUCCGGGGGCGCCCGCCGGCGGCGGCGGGGGGGAGGAACGAAGGAAGGGUGGACGAGNNNNNNNNNNNNNNNNNNNNNNNNNNNNNNNNNNNNNNNNNNNNNNNNNNNNNNNNNNNNNNNNNNNNNNNNNNNNNNNNNNNNNNNNNNNNNNNNNNNNNNNNNNNNNNNNNNNNNNNNNNNNNNNNNNNNNNNNNNNNNNNNNNNNNNNNNNNNNNNNNNNNNNNNNNNNNNNNNNNNNNNNNNNNNNNNNNNNNNNNNNNNNNNNNNNNNNNNNNNNNNNNNNNNNNNGUUUCCUCUGUUUACAUGGUAAAGUGAUUGCUGCACUCGCUUUUGGCCGUGGAUGCAAUUUGGGAACUCAUUCCAUGAGUUGAGGGUGCAGGUAGAGAUGAUGCUGGGGAUGGGAACGGUGGGAAGCUGCGUGCGUGCUACCUACCAUUGCAGGGACUUUUUUUUUUUAUAGUUCAGUGUCUUAUUACGAAUCUGAUAGUGCUAUAUGCCACACAUACACCAUGUUUCUCCAUUCUAAUAUGAUGAUCUAUUUACAUGCGACUCAGAGAAAGAACUGCUUUGCAGGUAAACAUUUGCUGCAAACUGAUGUAUUGAACUUUUAAGAAUUUUGAUUGGUCGCCCAAAUAACCCAUUCUCCUUUUGUUGAUAUUUAUGAAGGAGAUCGUUAUUUCUCUUUUUGUUUCAGGUUUUCAACAUCACGAAUGAACUAUGGAGUGGAGCUACCAAAAUAUCUAUGUGGUAAAAUCACUAUAUACAUAUUGUUUUCCCACCGAUGCUUCAAGCGACACGCAUCCAUUGCAACGAAAUCGGCAUCACCUGCGUGUUUGCUUUUGUUCGUUUCUAGCAGGCAAGAAUCCAUCGAGUCUUCCUCUAUGUGUGCAACCUUGCCAGUGUUGGAAUCAAUCAAGGCAAGGGUAACCAACAUUAAGUAUGUGCGAGUCUUGCCGGGAUCUGAUCUAUCAACUCCUUCAGCCAGCUUGGCACUAUGUGCACGUCGUCCAUGAUAGAAAAGAACUUGGCAAGUGGACGGCUCCACCGGCCCUGCGUCAACAAUUAAAAUCCUUAGAGCAUCUCUAGCGGACCCCUUAAAGCUGUGACCCUUAAACCAUGGAUAAGGGCCGAGAAAAACACGUUUUGAAGGUUGAAAUUGGUUGCGGCCGAAUAGAGACCGCAAACCCGAGCGGUAAAAGAGAAUAUUUGGAGAGUGGAAUCAUUCUAGUAUUAUUUUCUACUGAUGAAAACUUCUGCGGUUACUCUUUGCUCAUGUAAUUAAAACAUGUUGACUGAUGACCCUAAGCUAGAAGUGAUAUUUGGCAAUAUUGUGCAAUGCUGAAAGGGGUGUUGUAAUGUAUUUUUACAGGUUGAUUUGUUGAAGCAUAACAUACCUGACCCAUCAUUGUUAACAUCAUCUACACCAGACAAGGAAAAUAAGAAUGAUAACCAAUCAGGCAGUGAAGAUUACAUGGCCGAUCUCUGUUUUGUGCAUGCUAGGUGGGCAUUAUGAACUGUUCUACUUGCCUUGAGAGUGUUUUUUUUUUCUGUUAUCAGAUACUCAUUUAUAUUUCUCUGAAUAGAUCUUUU